CCAUCGUCCGGAGCUCCGCCUCCACUCACCCAGCCAACAACUUCUGGGAGUUAUAUCAUCCAUGCAUGCUGCUUAGUCGAGGCCGCCUAAAAAAAAAACACCAUCAAAUUGGCUCUAAUUUCUGGUGAAAUUGUCUGGCAGUAGUAAGGGAAGCUGAUUUGGUCAAGUGGAUUUUCUACUUUCUGGGAUUUUUUUGACACACAACAAAAGAGAGGAGACGAGAUGAGGGACAAGGGGACGGGAAGAGCAUGAAUCUGGGUAUUUGACUGUUAAAGCAUUAGCUGGUAGUCACAACAGUAGGUGGAUUUCACCAUCAUAAAUGUGAAGCUAUUGUCCGUCAGUUUUUGGUAUUGGCAGCAUUGAGAUUUGAGACUGAGUCAGAUCGAAGUGGUUUUCUUUAACUUUGGUAUUCGCAGCACAAGUGUGAGAUUUGGGACUGAGUCAAUUGGAUCGUAAUCGAAAAGAAAGAGCUUUCUGAUGUAUUCUUGGAGGGUGAAAGAAGGAACAGAGGAAAGACCUCUGUGUUGUUUUGAAGAUUUGAUAGUUUAGGUUUGGAUUAGGUGCGAAUGAGAUGAUAUAUUUUUAUUGUUUCUCUUUCUGUCGCGUGAGGACAAAGAGUGGAAGACGAAGAACUAGGAUUUCAUCAAGGUUGACGAAGGCAAGCUGUUCGAUGUAAUCUUGCUUGCAUGGCAGAUCUGUUAGCAAAAGUAAGUGAGAUUUCAUCUUUGUUCUUUUGCGUGAAGACAGAUAGUGAAAGAUAAUGAACGUAUUCUGGAUCUGCUUAGAAGAGGAAGAAGUAGGAUUUCAUCAAAGGUGAUCUUGGUGUGUUUCUCUCUUUGUGAUUGAAUUUAAUUGUCUAAUUUCAGAAUUUGGAUUCCAAGUCUGAUGAAAGUUGAAAGCAGAUAGUGACUUUGCUGUGUUUAUGUUUAAUUAAAAAGUUCCUUAAUACAAUUGAUCGCAGGAGGAACAAUUGAAACCUUGAUAAGAUCUGCAUUAUAAUUAUGCUCAUUCAUAAAUAUAUUAUAAUUAUGUUUCAUAUUGUUUAUUCACAUAAUUAUGUAUUGAGCUUAGUAGUGAUUUAAUAGUCAUUUUGAUGCCGUAUCAUUGAUUUUCUACAAUUUCUCCUUAGUUUCUUGGACUAUUAUUCAUGCUAAGUUGGCU